rnacentral:ribozyme from 1 species
GUAGUAAUUGGUUCGCCUCCACGUGGCACUACUGGAAACGAGUUUACUCGGCUAAGAGUCAAA